rnacentral:rRNA from 1 species
AUUCCAGCUCCAAUAGCGUAUAUUAAAGUUGUUGCGGUUAAAAAGCUCGUAGUUGGAUCUCGGUUUCACUCAGGUGGUACACCUUGCGGUGUUCACUAUCUGGGUGGACGUUUCUGUUGGUUCGCUCUUGGUGCUCUUCAUCGGGUGCCAUUUGGUGGCCAGCACGUUUACUUUGAAAAAAUUGGAGUGCUCAAAGCAGGCGUUACAGCCUGAACAUUAGUGCAUGGAAUAAUGGAAUAGGAUCUCGAUUCUAUUUCGUUGGCUUUCGGAGUCGAGGUAAUGAUUAAUAGGGACAGACGGGGGCAUUCGUACUGCGACGUUAGAGGUGAAAUUCUUGGAUCGUCGCAAGACGAACUACUGCGAAAGCAUUUGCCAAGAAUGUUUUCAUUAAUCAAGAACGAAAGUUAGAGGUUCGAAGGCGAUCAGAUACCGCCCUAGUUCUAACCAUAAACGAUGCCAACCGGCGAUCCGUCGUCGUUAAUUGAAUGACUCGACGGGCAGCCUCCGGGAAACCAGAGUGUUUGGGUUCCGGGGGAAGUAUGGUUGCAAAGCUGAAACUUAAAGGAAUUGACGGAAGGGCACCACCAGGAGUGGAGCCUGCGGCUUAAUUUGACUCAACACGGGAAAUCUCACCAGGCCCGGACACCGGAAGGAUUGACAGAUUGAGAGCUCUUUCUUGAUUCGGUGGGUGGUGGUGUAUGGCCGUUCUUAGUUGGUGGAGCGAUUUGUCUGGUUAAUUCCGAUAACGAACGAGACUCUGGCCUACUAACUAGAAGGUCUAUCCUUUAUGGGUAGGCCUCUGCUUCUUAGAGGGACGGGCGGCGUUUAGCCGCACGAGAAUGAGCAAUAACAGGUCUGUGAUGCCCUUAGAUGCUCUGGGCUGCACGCGCGCUACACUGAAGGAAUCAGCAUGUUCUCCCCUCCCUGAAAAGGGCGGGUAACCCGUUGAAACUCCUUCGUGAUGGGGAUUGGAGAUUGUAAUUAUUCUCCAUGAACGAGGAAUUCCCAGUAGGCGCGAGUCAUCAGCUUGCGUCGAUUACGUCCCUGCCCUUUGUACACACCGCCCGUCGCUACUACCGAUCGAGUGAUUUAGUGAGGACUUCGGACUGGUCUUCAAGUUGGCUUCGGUCGGCUCGAAGUUCCGGAAAGAUGCCCAAACUUGAUCACUUAGAGGAAGUAAAAGUCGUAACAAGGUUUCCGUAGGUGAACCUGCGGAAG